GCCGCUGUGGUGGAACAGGCAGACACAAGGGACUUAAAAUCCCUCGCUGUAAAAGGCGUACCGGUUCGAUCCCGGUCAGCGGCACCA
rnacentral:tRNA from 1 species